rnacentral:tRNA from 1 species
GGGAAGGUAGCUCAGUGGUAGAGUGCUUGCCUUGCAUGCAUGAGGCCCUGGGUUCGAUACCUCAGUGCCA